rnacentral:rRNA from 1 species
UGGGGAAUCUUGGACAAUGGGGGCAACCCUGAUCCAGCCAUGCCGCGUGAUCGAUGAAGGCCUUAGGGUUGUAAAGAUCUUUCAGCUGGGAAGAUAAUGACGGUACCAGCAGAAGAAGCCCCGGCUAACUCCGUGCCAGCAGCCGCGGUAAUACGGAGGGGGCUAGCGUUGUUCGGAAUUACUGGGCGUAAAGCGCACGUAGGCGGAUUGGAAAGUUGGGGGUGAAAUCCCGGGGCUCAACCCCGGAACUGCCUCCAAAACUUCCAGUCUGGAGGUCGAGAGAGGUGAGUGGAAUUCCGAGUGUAGAGGUGAAAUUCGUAGAUAUUCGGAGGAACACCAGUGGCGAAGGCGGCUCACUGGCUCGAUACUGACGCUGAGGUGCGAAAGCGUGGGGAGCAAACA